rnacentral:rRNA from 1 species
AGCAUAUCAAUAAGCGGAGGAAAAGAAACCAACAGGGAUUGCCUCAGUAACGGCGAGUGAAGCGGCAACAGCUCAAAUUUGAAAUCUGGCUCUUGCAGAGUCCGAGUUGUAAUUUGCAGAGGGCGCUUUGGCGUUGGCAGCGGUCUAAGUUCCUUGGAACAGGACGUCACAGAGGGUGAGAAUCCCGUACGUGGUCGCAUGCUCUCGCCGUGUAAAGCCCCUUCGACGAGUCGAGUUGUUUGGGAAUGCAGCUCUAAAUGGGAGGUAAAUUUCUUCUAAAGCUAAAUACUGGCCAGAGACCGAUAGCGCACAAGUAGAGUGAUCGAAAGAUGAAAAGCACUUUGGAAAGAGAGUCAAACAGCACGUGAAAUUGUUGAAAGGGAAGCGCUUGCAGCCAGACUUGCCUGUAGUUGCUCAUCCGAGCUUUUUUGCCCGGUGCACUCUUCUGCCGGCAGGCCAGCAUCAGUUUGGGCGGUUGGAUAAAGGUCUCUGUCACGUACCUCCUUUCGGGGAGGCCUUAUAGGGGAGGCGACAUGCAACCAGCCUGGACUGAGGUCCGCGAUUCUAGGAUGCUGGCGUAAUGGCCGUAAGCGGC